GACGAACGCUGGCGGCGUGCUUAACACAUGCAAGUCGAACGGACAGGCGCUGCCUUUGUGGCGUGCUCGAGUGGCGAACGGGUGAGUAACACGUGAGUAACCUGCCCUUGACUUUGGGAUAACUUCUGGAAACUGGGGCUAAUACCGGAUAGGCGCACCUGCUGCCUGGGGGGGGUGGGAAAGUGUCGGCGGUGGGGUUUGGAAUCGCGGCUUCUCAGCUUGUUGGUGGGGUAGUGGCUUACCAAGGCGUGGACGGGUAGCCGGCCGGAGAGGGGGAGCGGCCACAUUGGGACUGGGAUACGGCCCAGACUCGAACGGGAGGCAGCGGAGGGGAAGAUUACACAACGGGCGGAAGCAAGAUGCAACAACGCCGCGUGCGGUAGAGCGGCCAUCGGGUUGGAAACCGAAUUCGUGUGGGACGAAGAGUGAAUGACGGUAAUGGGUAAAGAAGCACCGGCUAACUACGUG
rnacentral:rRNA from 1 species